CAGGUAGUGAUGAGUCUUUAACACACAGUCACUCAGUCAGUCCAUCAUUACUGGGACAGUGUGGAGCUCAGUCCACUCCCUGUGGUGCUCUUGCUCAUUUCAUUGGUUCAAGCUGGACUUGCUCAAGGGAGAAGGAGACACUGGGUGGACAUACAGCUGGUAUAAGAAUAACUACAGUCUCUACCCAAACGUCACAUAUAAU